rnacentral:rRNA from 1 species
UAGGGAAUCUUCCACAAUGGACGCAAGUCUGAUGGAGCAACGCCGCGUGAGUGAAGAAGGUUUUCGGACCGUAAAGCUCUGUUGUUGGUGAAGAAGGAUAGAGGUAGUAACUGGCCUUUAUUUGACGGUAAUCAACCAGAAAGUCACGGCUAACUACGUGCCAGCAGCCGCGGUAAUACGUAGGUGGCAAGCGUUGUCCGGAUUUAUUGGGCGUAAAAGCGAGCGCAGGCGGAAGAAUAAGUCUGAUGUGAAAGCCCUCGGCUUAACCGAGGAAUUGCAUCGGAAACUGUUUUCUUGAGUGCAGAAGAGGAGAGUAGAACUCCAUGUGUAGCGGUGGAAUGCGUAAAUAUAUGGAAGAAUACCAGUGGCGAAGGCGGCUCUCUGGUCUGCAACUGACGCUGAGGCUCGAAAAGCAUGGGUAGCGAACAGGAUUAGAUACCCUGGUAGUCCAUGCCGUAAAACGAUGAGUGCUAAGUGUUGGGAGGCUUCCGCCUCUCAGUGCUGCAGCUAACGCAUUAAGCACUCCGCCUGGGGGAGUACGACCGCAAGGUUGAAAC